rnacentral:rRNA from 1 species
UAGGGAAUCUUCCGCAAUGGACGCAAGUCUGACGGAGCAACGCCACGUGAGUGAAGAAGGAUUUCGGUUCGUAAAACUCUGUUGUUAGAGAAGAACAGCGCAUAGAGUAACUGUUAUGCGUGUGACGGUAUCUAACCAGAAAGCCACGGCUAACUACGUGCCAGCAGCCGCGGUAAUACGUAGGUGGCAAGCGUUGUCCGGAUUUAUUGGGCGUAAAGCGAGCGCAGGCGGUCAAUUAAGUCUGAUGUGAAAGCCCCCGGCUCAACCGGGGAGGGUCAUUGGAAACUGGUUGACUUGAGUGCAGAAGAGGAGAGUGGAAUUCCAUGUGUAGCGGUGAAGUGCGUAGAUAUAUGGAGGAACACCAGUGGCGAAGGCGACUCUCUGGUCUGUAACUGACGCUGAGGUUCGAAAGCGUGGGUAGCAAACAGG